rnacentral:piRNA from 1 species
UUCCUCUGAAGAAACUGCAGUGAGC